rnacentral:rRNA from 1 species
AUUGAACGCUGGCGGCAUGCCUUACACAUGCAAGUCGAACGGUAACGCGGGGCAACCUGGCGACGAGUGGCGAACGGGUGAGUAAUACAUCGGAACGUGCCCAGUAGUGGGGGAUAGCCCGGCGAAAGCCGGAUUAAUACCGCAUACGACCUACGGGUGAAAGCAGGGGAUCGCAAGACCUUGCGCUAUUGGAGCGGCUGAUGUCAGAUUAGGUUGUUGGUGGGGUAAAAAGCCUACCAAGCCGACGAUCUGUAGCUGGUCUGAGAGGACGACCAGCCACACUGGGACUGAGACACGGCCCAGACUCCUACGGGAGGCAGCAGUGGGGAAUUUUGGACAAUGGGCGCAAGCCUGAUCCAGCCAUGCCGCGUGCGGGAAGAAGGCCUUCGGUUGUAACGCUUUGUCAGGAAGAAACGGACUCCAGGCUAAUAACCCUCGGGGUAAGUGACGGUACCUGAAGAAUAAGCACCGGC